UUGAGAGCUGUGUGAGCUGAUAGAGGGGAGACAGAAUGUGGAAGGCUGCUAGGAAAACCCCAGAAAUGUGCUUGUUUUCCUCAGCAAAGAAUUGGACCUGCCUUGACAGAGCAAAAUGUAUAUGAAACACCCAAGGCACGAAUAAGGCUAAAAUGGAAGGGGAUUGUCACUGAAGUCUCGCGAAGCAAUUCACCAAUUGCGAAAUGUGGAAAUUUGCUGCGAAUCAUUGCCUGGCAAAAAAAUUCCUCAUCACUAAUAAUAAAUAUAAAAUAAGUCCAGGAGUUUCUAUAACUCGAUAUAGAGACAAGAUACAAUAAAAUACAUAUAUACAGUACUUCAGAAAGUAGCUGUUCAAUUUUCCAUUGAAUAAUGAAAGUGAACUUAUUUUGCUGACAUUUGGAAUAUUUAGU